GUUAUAUGGUCAAGUGAAGAAGCGCAUACGGUGGAUGCUGGCAGUCAGAGGCGAUGAAAGACGUGGUAGCCUGCGAUAAGCUUCGGGGAGUCGGCAAACAGACUUUGGAUCCGGAGAUCUCUGAAUGGGGAAACCCACCUGGGAUAACCUAGGGUAUCUUGUACU
rnacentral:rRNA from 1 species